UUGGAUUCCUUGAUAAUCUCUAGAUCCA
rnacentral:piRNA from 1 species